UAAAUGACUUUUUUCAAAGUCACUAAGUGAAAGAACACAAUAUCG
rfam:Ailuropoda melanoleuca scaffold980_2, whole genome shotgun sequence.